AUGAACAUUCAGCAUCAGUGCUCAUACAGCAGCAUAUUAUUGAGCCGUUUUGAGUUUGAAGAGUGGAGAAGCCUCGGCCAAGUACUGCGGGUCACAUUCCCCACAUCCGAGCAGAGUGGACACAGCUCCAUGGGCGAUGACAGCAGACCCAGGGGUCGCUUUCUGGGCUUGUCUCCAGGCCUUGACCUGAGCAGCACUCAUGCGGAUGACCCCUUGCUCCUUGACAUGGGCCCAUCUGGUGGCUUGGAUGAAGUGAGUGGAGGGUGGGUGGUCAAGUCAGGUGGCUCCUGGCGCAGGCACAUGUCUACUGCAGGCACGUGGGCUCCCAUGCCUCUCCCUCUUUGCUCCCUGUUUUCCUUUUUCUUACUCUCCUCCCCCAUAGUUCUACUUUCCCUGCUCCUCCUCCUUCACCCUGCAGAUCCUGAACUCCAGGCUCACGUUUAUUUGCAAGUCGGAUUGCUUGGCCCACUGGUCACUGGGGCCAGAGCUAGGUGAGCCCCGUCCUCCUUGCGGACCACAGACGCUGGUGCAGGGGUCUGAGAGGGUCUGUCGCCCAGUGGCCGAGGAGGCGGGCAGUUCACCAGAAUCGCUUCGGGCAGCGACCAGGCACUUUGCAAAUACCACUACGAGGCCGUCAUAUCUCUGCUAGUAUUAAAAUUCUUCAGAAUUGUAAUUAUUAUUUGAAAUAGCUUUUUGGUUGACUUAAGUUUUGAAAGAUGAUUCUAAAACAGAUCUAGAGACUCAUUCGAUAGCAAUGACCUUCUGAAAACUUACGUUAAGUGGGACUGCCCGUAGGUGAAAUCAUAGGCCAGACGUCCUUCCCCUGUCGAUUGCUGUGGAGCUUGUCAUCCUUAGAGGCUCCAGAAUGGCCGUGGUGUUUUAAGUGUGCUCUUUUAUUAAAUGCUUGUUUUGUAAUUCGGUACGGAGAGUUUACAGAGAGUUUAACCUUGUAAUGUACAUUUUUGUAUGUCAGCAGUCUUUUAAGUAGCCUUAUCCUUAUUUAAAUAAAAGGAGUAAAAUUACUGAGUAGGUCUGUCAUUCAUAACAAAAAUAAAACGUGAAAACACGUAGUGAUCUUUUUUUGACUAUAUAGAAACUUGUUUAUUCCUUAUAGUAAGCCUUCUGUACCUGGAUCGACGUCUCAGUAGUCUAGCCGCAUCUUGGGCCCGCGUGAGGGGCUGAGUGGGGGUCCUUGGGCUGCCCGCUGGUAGCCCCUGUGCUUCCAGGGAUGGCCACCAGCCCCCAUGUGUCCUCGGUCAGCUCUCCUGGCAAACAUGNNNNNNNNNNNNNNNNNNNNNNNNNNNNNNNNNNNNNNNNNNNNNNNNNNNNNNNNNNNNNNNNNNNNNNNNNNNNNNNNNNNNNNNNNNNNNNNNNNNUGGCCACCAGCCCCCAUGUGUCCUCGGUCAGCUCUCCUGGCAAACGUGGACUGACCAGAGGUUCAGCUGAGGGGUGAUAUUGUUUCUGGAGUAAUCUUGAAAAAGUUACCUCUUUUUACUGAUGUUUUACUGUUGGAAAUUAAAGCUCUAAAUUAACUAAUGAAUUUGGAAAAGCCUCAGGUGACUUUCUACCUUGAACUUAAACAUAGAUCUUUUUUUUUUUUUUGUCUGGACAGAAGAGACUAAAAAACGUCUCAUUUCCAUUUAGAUCAGUUUUACCAAAGUGCCUUUUGCUGACUGAUGUUCUCUGUGCUGUCUGUACUGAACUUGGUUGUCUUCCUUGUUGUGGCAGAAAAGAUAAAGAUGUGAGUUAAGUUCCUGCCCAGUGGAUGGUAGAUAAUCGCAAUGAUAGGAGGAAACUCAGACUCUGCAGUGCAACAGUGAGGGAUGGGGGUGGUGAGGAGCAUUAGGGAAGGUCCCCCAGGAAGAGAUAGUGCUUUAAGGGGAGGCAGCUUGGAAAGCUUUCAGAAGAGUCCUGUUUGUCGUGGGGUUCAAAGGACUGUGUGGUCAUUGCUGCUCUGCCCAUAAAAGGCAGAGUCUGUGUCCCACUGCUGGGUGUGGAACCAAUCACGUGCUCACGCUUGGACCCAUGCUACAGCUGUGGGAAAAGCCCACUGGAGAACCGUCCCAGCCAGCAGUCAGUGUGCCCGCAGACCCCUGACUGUGGGUCACCCUUCUCCACUGCCAGAUGAGACCAGCAGCGGCAGCUGACUUGGAAUCAUGAGGAGCAGAAAGUGUUGGGGUCUUUGCUCCCAGUCCUGGAUAACUCAGACACCAGCUAGGUGCAGAGUGGGGUCCUGCAGAGUGGACAGGGUCUCAUGGCAGAAAGGCCGCUGUGGCUCAGAUCAGUGAGAGCAGGGAGCCUAUUAUGAAAUUACCCAGGAACCAGGGGUGGAGUUGGGCAGGGGCCAGAAAACCUAGGACUUACACAGCCGUGUAGGAAUUAGGAUUUGAUUCUAAGAGUUAACUAGAAGCCGUUAACUGUGUCCAGCCUUAACUAAACAUUCAGUUUAAUCAAAGGACAGAAAUAAGACUAGUUCAGUAAGUACGUAAUAGCUCUGUACAUUUUUUCUAGUAAAAAUUAUUGAUCUUUUUUAAGCAUAUUUGAACUUUAAUAUAUAUAUAUGCUAACAAUUAAAGCUUUUGUUGUUGCUGUUUGGUUGCUAAGUUCUGUCUCUUUGCAACCCUGUAGCCUGCCAGGCUCCCAUGCAUGGGAUUUCCUAGGUAAUAAUACAGGAGGGGGUUACCAUUUCUUCCUCCAGGGGAUCUUCCCCACCCAGGCAUUGAACAGGCAUUGAACCUGCAUGGCAUGCUGAAUCUCAGUUCCCUGAGCAGGGAUUGAAUCCAUGGCCCCUGGAAAGGGGAUGUGGAAGCACAGAGUCUUAACCAGUGACUGUCAGGGAAGUCCCAUAAAGUGUUGUUUAU
rnacentral:lncRNA from 1 species